rnacentral:rRNA from 1 species
AAAUUGAAGAGUUUGAUCAUGGCUCAGAUUGAACGCUGGCGGCAGGCCUAACACAUGCAAGUCGAACGGUAACAGGAAGCAGCUUGCUGCUUCGCUGACGAGUGGCGGACGGGUGAGUAAUGUCUGGGAAACUGCCUGAUGGAGGGGGAUAACUACUGGAAACGGUGGCUAAUACCGCAUAACGUCGCAAGACCAAAGAGGGGGACCUUCGGGCCUCUUGCCAUCAGAUGUGCCCAGAUGGGAUUAGCUGGUUGGUGAGGUAACGGCUCACCAAGGCGACGAUCCCUAGCUGGUCUGAGAGGAUGACCAGCCACACUGGAACUGAGACACGGUCCAGACUCCUACGGGAGGCAGCAGUGGGGAAUAUUGCACAAUGGGCGCAAGCCUGAUGCAGCCAUGCCGCGUGUAUGAAGAAGGCCUUCGGGUUGUAAAGUACUUUCAGCGGGGAGGAAGGUGUUGUGGUUAAUAACCGCAGCAAUUGACGUUACCC